ACGUGUCACACGGUGCGUUUCGAUCGUGUGUGAUUCUUAUGGUCUUUGGUUAUAUUUGGGCUUUGGAUUAACUUCUGAGAGUACAGCCCGCUUAUCAUCUCUCCCUAGAUGAAACGACGUGAUUUCGUUUAGGGUUAAACCCGUGUUUUUCUUUGCCUCUCCAGAGAUCAAACGACAAUGGAGAUUCUUCCUGAAUCGUAAUUCUAGGGUUCCUCCUCUUUACGAAGAACCAACUCUGUUACCAACAAUGCCAGUUCUGAAAAGAAGUGUGACUCAACGCUUUGUUAGUAAUCUUUGUUUGGACUAUGUUCAUGUCGUUUCAGUCUCAAUCCUUCACCUCUGAAACCGUUACAAAUCGCCUUGAUUCAACUUCAUUGACCAAUUAACUCUUCCUGCCCACUCCGACCAAGAUCUUGCAUUCAAUGAAUCUUUUUCAUCUUUCACCUAUAAAAAUAUUUUGGGAAGGAAGCCACAAAUAUAGAGGCGUGGAAAUAUUAGCUUGAUAUAUAGUUUCAGGUCGAUUUGAUUUUGAUUUAUUUGUAGGAUGUUGAUAAAGCUGUGUAGGAGAGCUAUUCAAGAGGACUGAUCAUAUUCUCUAUGUAGACAAAACCAUGAGAGGUAUUGAAUAAGUUAUAGGUUUUUGACUAUACUUCUACGUUUCUUCUUUUCCUUAUGUUCUCAUCAGAUUUUCUAAAAAUGUCAAACUUUGAAAAAUGUAUUCAGUUUCUUUUGCUCUUCAUAAGCCAGGGUUCAUCCAGAAGGAAUGAAACAACGAUCCAAGCUUCUUUGCUCCUUUGAUUCUCACUUUCCAGAGAUCUCUCAUGAUCAUAAAAACAACCUUGCAACAGUAGAUUCAUUAGGCUCGAAGAUUGCCCCUAUUGCUGCUGUCUGCCCUUACGCAUUCACUUAUUCUAAUCUAUUAUUACUCUCUUGGUUAAACAUGACUACGUAAUAGCUUCUUGAACACCCAUUAAAUUUUUUUCUUUCAGGCCGCCGGUUCUCAAAUGCAACGUCGGGGACACAUAUAUCUUUUGACAUAGAGACUAAUGCAGGGGAGAUUUUGUUUCUGAGCUGGUCUGGAGAAACACUGGGAACAACCCAGAUCCUUCAUUCCUGAGAGGAUAUGCCAAGGUUGAACCAUUGAGCAUAUCUAAGCUGAAUGAGUUCAUCAUCGCAGCCGAGCCUCAGGAGACUGAAUUUGUCCGCACAGGAAGGGUGACUGGAAUCAAGAUGGACAAAGGCUGGUGUUACGUUUCCUUCUCCAGUUGCACAAGAAGCUCCAAAGAACUUGCGCAUCUUUUACUUGCAUGUCCUGCAACAACACAAGCGUUGUUGGAGUGCUCUGGUAUAUUGGAUCAUCUGUUCUUACCACUUUGAAAAUUCUCACAUACAAUCAACAUGGUUUUCAUACAAUUUGUUACACGGUACCGGAUGGAGAUGAGCAUUGCUGACAAUGCGGAUGAGGGUCUAUUUGUGGCUUUUGAUGGAGAGAUGAAGAAACUACAUAACGUGCGCGCCUAUGAAGCUGGUCAUUUAAUGAUAUAGUUGGUAAGACAUACAGCUUCCAGGUCAGGGUAGACAUGAACAACUUCACUGCCAACCAUCAGACCUUCACUAUCUCUCGCAUGAACAAGCGUGAUGGUGACGAUGAUGACGGAGACGACUUGCCUGGAAACCCCUCAGCCCUUCCUAACGUUUGGCAUCGAAGGUAACGAACGUGUGGAAACCUCAUCUCCAGGAACAUCCUCCAGUGGUCCUGCCGCCAAGAAGCCUCUCCUUUCAACAAGUGGUCAAGAAGGCACGAAAAUCUUGAGUGAACAUGAUGGAGUUUCUAGAGUUAGUUUUCCUCUUUCAAUAAUGCUUAGGCAUCAAUGUUGGUUUUUAAAAAAAUUGAAUUCUCGAGUCAGAUUUCCUCUUUGAAUAAUGAUUAGGCAUCAAAGUUUUUUUUUUAAUUUUCUCCUCAUCUGGAGUUUGCUAUGC